AGGCUAAUGGUAAUAUUCAUCUUCAGGUACAACUUGUUAAGGAAAAACGUUCACUCAUAAUGCCACCACGGCUCAUUUGCGCUUUUCCACCAUCUUCCAAGAAAAUUCAGAGAAGAUCAAGAAUUGGAAACAAUACCUGCCCAUUUAAUUUUGGAAAGUUACACUUCUUCUAAGUCAAGGAGGGGGUAAACCUCUUGCAAACAACCUCUCUGCCAAGACCCAAACAACAAACCAACCAACCAACCAACCAACCGAAAAAAAAAAAAA
rnacentral:misc_RNA from 1 species